rnacentral:rRNA from 1 species
CAGCCGCCGCGGUAAUACCGGCGGCCCGAGUGGUGGCCGCUAUUAUUGGGCCUAAAGCGUCCGUAGCCGGGCCCGUAAGUCCCUGGCGAAAUCCCACGGCUCAACCGUGGGGCUUGCUGGGGAUACUGCGGGCCUUGGGACCGGGAGAGGCGAGGGGUACCCCUGGGGUAGGGGUGAAAUCCUAUAAUCCCAGGGGGACCGCCAGUGGCGAAGGCGCCCCGCUGGAACGGGUCCGACGGUGAGGGACGAAGGCCAGGGGAGCAAACCGGAUUAGAUACCCGGGUAGUCCUGGCUGUAAAGGAUGCGGGCUAGGUGUCGGGUGAGCUUCGGGCUCGCCCGGUGCCGUAGGGAAGCCGUUAAGCCCGCCGCCUGGGGAGUACGGCCGCAAGGCUGAAACUUAAAGGAAUUGGCGGG